AGCAUGGAGAAGUUAGACCACUUUGACUCUAUCAUCACUUUGCUGCCCUAUACCUAAGACUUAAUGUGUUUUCAUCAAGCACAAGUAAUACAGGCUGCUGGAUGAUAACAAGAACAUUUUUUAGUGCAGGAGCAGGUACAGGAGGGAUUGGCACUUUGGCUGAUUAAAAAUCAAACCUCUCAAAAAGGCUGGCAGAAAAUAGAAUGACAUUUGUCAUCAGAAAAGAACUGCAAAGAAAUAAAAGUUAUAGAGACAUAGCUUCAGCUAGUUUAUAUUGGCAGUGCUCCAGUGAAGUCAGGGGAAAAAUUCUGAUGUACUCCAGCUGAGGUGUUGGCCAUAGGCUAUAAGAAGCCUGAAAAUGAUGUUUCCAUUUAAAUGAUAGCGUAUCCAUCAGGGAUCCAUGAGGGUUAGGUUGUAUAAGACGACUUUAUCCUAAACACCUGGCUGCUUCUGCUCAACCAGUGCCAAGCAAUCAAACAGCAGUGACCUCUGUGACUUGAAGACUUCCUAGAUCUGACUUAAUUGAAGAUCAGCCUGAAUGAAAAUGAAUUUCAAAAGUGCUCUGUGGUUUGUGAUUUCUGUUGAAACUCUCCUGAGUUUCUCAAGUCUCAGGAAUGGAGAUGAUCCUGUCCUUCAACUAUACCAUGAAGUGUUUUAGUUCAACCCGCCUGGUUAACUGACUGACCUGUUUCCUACUUAGCUCCUCAGCGAGUGGAUGAAUGAUCUGGUUCCCCAUCCUACUUCAGUGGGUCAGCAAUGAAGACUCACUCCCUCUUAAAUCCUCUUAGUAUCUUCUGAGAUGGCAGGCCCUGUCCCCACUCCUAUUUAUUUCCAGGAGAACCAGGAAAUACUCCAAUCUGUUUUUAUGAGCACUUUGGGCCUCAAAGUGAAACCCAGUAGUCAUCCGAGUCCUUUGGAAUUUCCCUUUUCAACAUUUACCCCCAGGCAUGGAAGCUUCUCUUAUAAUGAGUAUGGUAGCAAGGAGAGAAGUAAAUUGUGGGAUGAGAUUUGCUUUGGCAAAACGUCUGAAGAGCAACAGGGGAACAGGCAUGAUUUAAUGAAUGAUAGGUGUAUCCUGAAAUAAAUGCACAUUUUGAGUCCUCCAGUCUGAGACAGAUCUAACAUUUGUGGGAGGCUUUGAAGGGAAGAAUGUACUUCUAUCUUCUAACAAAGGAGGGGUGUGAACCUUUGUAUCGGUCAGGAUUCUGGAGAACGUGGUAGCCAUCCUUCUGGAGCUGGGCCACAGAAGGCCUAUGGAGGUAACAUAUAUGGACAUAAAGAGCUAAUGGACCAUUAGUUAGAGCUGCGAAACCCUUAGAAACUGGCAGAUUUAGCCCCAUUUUCAUAUUUGUGAACUGUCCAUGAACAAUCUGAAAACAGUCUGAAAUUUUUACGGACACCUAGCUUUAACUACACUAUCUGUCUACCUAUAAUAAAUAAAACAAUUGACAUUUGUGUGAAACUUGCAUUUUGUUUUUACCCAGGUGUGAUGCAGAUGCACACCUUCUGCUCCCAGCCUUCCCACA